AUAGUAUAACGAUUUCGCAUGUUAUUGUUAUUAAAGCUUCGGCGGAAAAGGAUGAGCAUGCGUCCCAUUAGUUAGUUGGUAAGGUAAUGGCUUACCAAGACAUCGAUGGGUAGGGGGCCUGAGAGGGUUAUCCCCCACACUGGUACUGAGACACGGACCAGACUCCUACGGGAGGCAGCAGUGAGGAAUAUUGGACAAUGGACGAAAGUCUGAUCCAGCCAUGCCGCGUGUAGGAAGAAUGCCCUAUGGGUUGUAAACUGCUUUUAUAUAGGAAGAAACCUCUCGACGUGUCGGGAGCUGACGGUACUAUAAGAAUAAGGACCGGCUAACUCCGUGCCAGCAGCCGCGGUAAUACGGAGGGUCCAAGCGUUAUCCGGAUUUAUUGGGUUUAAAGGGUACGUAGGCGGAGUUUUAAGUCAGUAGUGAAAUCCCAUCGCUUAACGAUGGAACUGCUAUUGAAACUGAUACUCUUGAAUAUAGUUGAAGUGGGCGGAAUACGGCAUGUAGCGGUGAAAUGCAUAGAUAUGCCGUGGAACACCGAUUGCGAAGGCAGCUCACUAAGCUAUUAUUGACGCUAAGGUACGAAAGCGUGGGUAGCGAACAGGAUUAGAUACCCUGGUAGUCCACGCCGUAAACGAUGAUUACUCGGUGCUAGCGAUAUACUGUUAGUGCCUAAGCGAAAGUGAUAAGUAAUCCACCUGGGGAGUACGAUCGCAAGGUUGAAACUCAAAGGAAUUGACGGGGGCCCGCACAAGCGGUGGAGCAUGUGGUUUAAUUCGAUGAUACGCGAGGAACCUUACCUGGGCUUAAAUGCAUAAUGACAGGCUGAGAAAUCAGUUUUUCUUCGGACAGAAUGCAAGGUGCUGCAUGGCCGUCGUCAGCUCGUGCUGUGAGGUGUCGGGUUAAGUCCCAUAACGAGCGCAACCCCUAUUUCUAGUUGCCAGCACAUAAUGGUGGGGACUCUAGAGAAACUGCCCGCGCAAGCGGUGAGGAAGGUGGGGACGACGUCAGGUCAUCACGGCCCUUACGUC
rnacentral:rRNA from 1 species